GGCUGCAACUCGCCUACAUGAAGCUGGAAUCGCUAGUAAUCGCAGAUCAGAAUGCUGCGGUGAAUACGUUCCCGGGUCUUGUACACACCGCCCGUCACACCAUGGGAGUCGGAAAUGCCCGAAGCCGGUGACCCAACCAAAAGGAGGGAGCCGUCGAAGGCAGGUCUGAUAACUGGGGUGAAGUCGUAACAAGGUAGC
rnacentral:rRNA from 1 species